AUGGAAACCGGCCGGCAAUUCAGCUGACACGUAGCAAAAAAACUCCGUCUCUCACUGUUGUUUUUACUGCUUUCAGAAAUGGUUCAGUGUCAUCACAACCGUGAGCUAACCAGAGGCUAACUAUAAGAGUCUUCCAUGCUGAUGGCCGUGCAGCAGAGUUGGAGGGGACCUCUUGUCGAAGAACAUCUCCAAGACACUAUGAGCAUCUGACUAGCUUUUUGUGAAGACAGAAAAUCAAGAGAUGUUGUGACAACCUGGACAGAAUUCAGCUCCAGAUCCAGCCUCCACACCAGACUUCUCACGCACAAGGACUGCUGUCUACUAGCAUAUUAUGUGUUCUCUUUAGAGUUAGGUGCAUGUAGAUAUUACCUGAUUUUUAGAUAUAAU